CUCUGCUGGGUCUCUGCUGCGUUCAUCAAUAGGAAAAGGUACCCUAACUCACUUGUUUCAAUGGGAACAAAUGAACAGUGCCAACGGGGUGAGUUUGAGUUUGUUGGGAUCUUUGUCAAAACCACCAUGUCUGGCGCCCAUUAACAAGUACCUUUCAUGAAGAGCAAUCUAGGUCACAGAACCAAAGCAAUAGUUGGGUGUUAGUAAUCUAGCUGACAUACACAACUCAGGAGGUUUCUGAAGAAGCUUUCUACGAGGCUGAGUGUGUACUGUGAGUUGCGGAAAGAAACAGGUGGCCAGACACAGUGGAUCCAUCAAAAGGAAAAAAAAGACAAUUGAAGAAGAAUGCCACAUCAUGGUGCGCCACAAUUUAAAGUCCUUGAGAGCUGGUGGCAGAGAUUUGGUCCCUCACUGCAGGGCAGCAGCAGCAUUAUUUCCCCCUUUCGUUUGCGGAAGCUGAUGCUUUGCAAUGCUGGCCAGAAUAUGAAGCUCAACCAAAAGUGGCGUUGUUCUACCUGUCUUCUCUCCAGUCUGGUCUCUGGUUGUGUCCCUUCUGGCCUCAUGGGUGUGUCAACACCAAAGCUGGCAAAGUAUCAGUCUGGCAUGGCCCUCGGCACACAGCUGACACAGGAUUCACUUCACCAGUGAAGUGAAGGUAUCGGGUGGGUGGGUUGGUUUUCGAUCGCCGACUUUCUUCAACACGGAAGUUUACAUUGUAGCCGACGUUGUUGUUGCUCUGAAAGUCCUAGUAGAAUCAGAAACGCGUUCAGAAGGUUUCGAGUUGCAUGGACAAUGGGGUCCCAAUAACAGGGUCCUGUAAACCCGCAGAGGCAGCAGUUAGGGUUUUUACUUGCUGGUGAGAAGUUUCGCAGAGGUGAUUGUAUUAGGACUUAAGAUAAUGGACAAAGGUUGCCUUCUAUGAUUGGUCGUGGUAAAUUUGGUGAACAUUUUCAGCCGAUUGAUCAUCUCCACCUUUGAGUAGUUGGCUUUUGAAGCACUCAAAGAUCUUGCACCCAAAGAUGAAGUAUCAUCAGAUCUCUCCCUCUUUCUCAUGUUUUGAAAGCCGAUUCUCAUUACAUUUUCUGUUUAAAGAUACAUGAUCGAAGUUCACAUACUACUCUUUCUGCAUAUCUUCAAUUGCGAACUCUACAAGGUACUUCAGUCUCAGUGUGUGAUGCACUUACUUUGGGUCACUGGAAAUGAAAUAGAUCUCAUAUCUGAGCAUUUUCGGUGAACAUGGAAGGUUUUCCGGAGCUACAAAAGUUAGGAAUUGUUGUUAGCCAUCUGUAUGAAAAGGUUGGUUCCACAGGGAAUUUUCAUCAAGAUAUCUUUGGUUUUUGUACUGCGCUUCACCACUCUUAACUAGACAAGGCACUUAUGAAUACAAAUCUCAGAAUUAUAAUAGAAUAGAGCUUUCAGAUUUCGUUUAGUUUUUAGAUACAAGCUUUUAAACACAAGAGGCUCUCACCAGCUUCAAUAGUUCACCUCUGAUAUAAUGUUGAAUUUGAGAAGUACAUGAACUCAAAAGUCUUCCAAGCCUUUUGGAAACAUAUUCCUGUUGAUAAAUUACAGUGAUGGCUAUUACAGAAAUAGAUAUGUCACGUCUGUAGCAUUCAAUAGACAUCGAGAGGUUGGUCACAGCAACAGCUUACCAGUAGGAUUGGACCAGAAUCAAAAAGAAAUCAAAGAGUCAUAGUAUAUCGCAUUUCAAUU